rnacentral:lncRNA from 1 species
UUUUUAAAUUGUUUUAAGAAUAAUCUUACAAUCUUUUGGGGCUAACUCUUGUUUUAUACUCAUCUCCACAAUAUCUAGACGUGCAUUUAUACCAUCUUUUGUCUUGCCUUGAAUGUUGACGAGUAUUCCAAUCAAACUAUCACACACAUUUUUCUUCACAUACAUCAAAUUAAGACAAUGACAUACAUCGAGGCUAGAUCAAUAUGAAAGAUCAAAG